rnacentral:rRNA from 1 species
UACGAGAGGCCCAAACGUUAUUCGGAUUUACUGGGCUUAAAGAGUUCGUAGGCGGCGCGGAAAGUAGGGUGUGAAAGCCCUCGGCUCAACCGAGGAAUUGCGCUCUAAACUACCGUGCUCGAGGAAGCUAGAGGUGAGCGGAACUGAUGGUGGAGCGGUGAAAUGCGUUGAUAUCAUCAGGAACACCGGAGGCGAAGGCGGCUCACUGGGGCUUUUCUGGACGCUGAGGAA